ensembl:rRNA 5S_rRNA 5S ribosomal RNA
GUCUACGGCCAUACCACCCUGAACGCGCCUGAUCUCGUCUGAUCUCGGAAGCUAAGCAAGGUCGGGCCUGGUUACUACUUGGAUGGGAGACAGUUCAAUGGAAGCAGACA